rnacentral:rRNA from 1 species
UUUUAACGGAGAGUUUGAUCCUGGCUCAGGACGAACGCUGGCGGCGUGCCUAAUACAUGCAAGUCGAGCGGACAGAUAAGGAGCUUGCUCCUUUGACGUUAGCGGCGGACGGGUGAGUAACACGUGGGCAACCUGCCCCUUAGACU